CUCCAACUCUGCAGGACUCAGACCCGUCAGUCCACCACAACCACCAUGACUCUCAUCACCCUCCUCAUCUGGACGCUGGCCUGCUGCAGCUUCACAGGAUGCAGCGGCCAGGUGACUGUGACUCAGCCUCCAUUUGUGACAUUUACUACAGGAUCCACUGUCACACUGACCUGUAAAACCAACCCCAGUGUUUAUACUGAUAGUGCUGGUCAUUAUACGUCCUGGUACCAGCAGAAACCUGGACAGGCUCCCAAGCUUCUUAUAAAGUUAGCAUCAACUCUUCUAUCAGGAAUUCCCUCUCAAUUCAGUGGCAGUGGCUCUGGUUCUAGCUUCACCUUAACCAUCAGCGGUAUUCAGGCUGAAGAUGUUGGAGAUUAUUACUGUCAGAGCUUCCAUGUAGUAAACGGAGCAUACGUGUUCACACAGUGA